GACGAACGCUGGCGGCGUGCUUAACACAUGCAAGUCGAACGGAAAGGCCCUGCUUUUGUGGGGUGCUCACGUGGCGAACGGGUGAGUAACACGUGAGUAACCUGCCCUUGACUUUGGGAUAAGUUCAGGAAACUGGGGCUACUACCGGAUAGGAGCUCCUGCUGCAUGGUGGGGGUUGGAAAGUUUCGGCGGCUGGGGAUGGACUCGCGGCUUAUCAGCUUGUUGGCGGGGUAGUGGCUUACCAAGGCUUUGAUGGGUAGCCGGCCUGAGAGGGGGACCGGCCACAUUGGGACUGAGAGACGGCCCAGAGUCCUACGGGAGGCAGCAGUGGGGAAUAUUGCACAAUGGGCGGAAGCCUGAUGCAGCAACGCCGCGUGCGGGAUCACGGCCUGCGGGUUGUGAACCGCUUUCGCCUGUGACGAAGCGUGAGUGACGGUAAUGGGUAAAGAAGCACCGGCUAACUACGUG
rnacentral:rRNA from 1 species